rnacentral:rRNA from 1 species
UACGGAGGGUGCAAGCGUUAUCCGGAUUUACUGGGUUUAAAGGGUGUGUAGGCGGGGCUUUAAGUCAGGGGUGAAAUCUCCGAGCUUAACUUGGAAACUGCCAUUGAUACUAUUGAUCUUGAAUUCUGUUGAGGUGGGCGGAAUAUGUCAUGUAGCGGUGAAAUGCAUAGAUAUGACAUAGAACACCAAUUGCGAAGGCAGCUCACUAAGCAGAUAUUGACGCUGAGGCACGAAAGCGUGGGGAUCAAACAGG